rnacentral:rRNA from 1 species
UGGUGGGUUGCCUUGUCAGGUUGAUUCCGGUAACGAACGAGACCUCAGCCUGCUAAAUAGUCACGUUCGGCUUCUGCCGGACGGCUGCGCUUCUUAGAGGGACUAUCGGCGACUAGCCGAUGGAAGUGUGAGGCAAUAACA